rnacentral:tRNA from 1 species
GAGGACUGAGCAUGGUGGUAUUGCAUCUGGUUUGAAACUAGAUGGUGGGGGUUCGAUUCCUCCUGUCCUUG